CUUACAAAUUGAUAGCUGUUCAGGGCAAUAGUAGAGGGUUUGAGGUUUUUUUUUAUUUUGUUUUGCUUUGUUUUGUGGUGGCUGUGGGGUUUUUCUGAGGGGGGGUAUGUUUAAUUUUUACUACCUUCUUCAAGAGCCAAGGCUUACAUGGCAAUGCUGUCCCUGCUUCUCUUCAUCUGGUCAUUGCACCCAUAAUAACUUUUGAAAUUACAGCUAUUUUCAAGCAAAUUUGGAAUACACUUCAAUUCCUAUGAGAUCUGUGGCACUCACAGGCUGGAGAAUUAUUCAAAAUAAUGUUGCACUAAAUGAAAAGCAGGCAGAAUAUACCUGGUUCUUUGAAAUAAGGAUGAGGUUCCUGAGGUUGGAGGAAUGAACAAGUGAGUGCACAAGGUCUCUGGCAAUCUGAGAAACCCUGUGUAAGAAACUUUAUCUGUUAUCCAGUUUCUGUGUUUGUGAUCCCAGAGCCUCCUGUGGCAGCUGCCUCACGAAGAUAAAGCUGAAAGCAUCCAGAUCCAGCUAAUUCUCCAGCUGAUAAACUAGAAAUAAGAAGUGUGUGAGCUUUGCCAGCUCCCAUGUUUGAAGCUCAGGUGUCAAAGUAAUUGCUCUUUUUUCCAGCUACUAGAAAUUUGGGACUAUAUUAGUUUAUACUGUGACUGGGGACCGUGCAUCAUUCACACACCAGCACAAAUGGCUUCCUGAGCAGGAAAACACGAGCUCCUGGGCCAUCCCAGACCUGCGGCGUGUCCCGGCUGUACCAAGCGUGGGCAUCAAGGACUGCCGAGGACGUCCUUUCAUCGCUGGCUGAGGAACAGGAACUUCACACAAAUAGAAGUUCUAUUUGAAGCUGCCAAGAGCAAAGAACGUGAGAAUUUCUACGGCAAUCACAGGAGAGAAGAAUAACUACUCAAGCAGACACACCACGACAGCAGACUGGUCUCAUAGUGCCACAACCGGACAUUCCCCCAAGGACUGGCAUAGAGGAGAAAGGUACCCCCAUUAUCUUACAUUUUCUCUCUCAGUCUCCUUCCUCCCCAAAUAAAAGACAAAAACCCUCAAAGAACAAAAUCUUGUUAUUUUAGUUCCGAACUGGCAAAAAGACUUUGCAUUUUCUGUAGGAGGAGGUGAUCAAUUUUGUGAUCCUAGAUCCAUGUUUUAGCUGCAAUUAAUUUUUUCUUCUUACUAUAUAGGUUAUGAUCCACAUAUUCUGUACUGUUCUAGUCCACCUAAUCUUUUUCUCAGGAAAUUUUAAAAAAGAAAAGUUGAUGAUCAGUGCUCAUUUCUCUUUUUGCUGUUCCCCAUCACCAGUAAAACACUGUUACAUAAUGCAAAGACGUGGGCGUUAGUAUGUGGUGGUUUUAAACAAAAAAUACACAUCUUGUGCAUCCUGAUCCUUGCUUCUUUGCCCCAUGAAUACCCUUAGCAGUCCCUAUGGAUGGUGCAAUUUUAAAGAAGAUCAUUAUCUCCCUGUACCUUUUACUUCUGACUACAUUUUUCUCCUUGUGAAUGCAUUCAAAGUUUUUGCAGUGUUAAUGGGGUAUUAUUAGUGGUUUUUCUGCAGCAUCCUUCUUAGGAUGUGUCUUAGCAGUUACUUUAAACAUUUUGAAGAACAAAUGUCAGCAUCUGAAUACCAGUUAAUUUACAAGUCCAGUGGGAUUCAUAGAUAAAAAACAGAAAGUAAAACACCAAACGAGCACUUUCAAAUCAGACUGUCUAAAACCACGUAAAAUCAGAACAAUGUUCUGCUGCCAUUUACCACAGAGAACAGGAGUUUACUGCUUUAAUAAAAUGGAGAUGGAGUUGGAUAGUGCAGAAGCUGACUAGAGAAUCUUAAUUCACUACAUAAAUUGUGGUGCAAUUUUUAAAGAUUUUGAGCACCUGAGGCUUUUUAUCAUUUUAGGAUGGCUGAGAACUCCAUUGAAGGUUGCCUGUUUUCAGGCACUGGUAUAACAAUUUUCCAACUCAGCAUCAUGGAAGAAUCAUAUGUCAGUGCGUGUAAGGAUUCUCUAGCAGACAUUUGCAGCCUCCCUCUUUGCAGCUGCUGAUGUGUCCAAACCUUGUCCCAUUUCAUAAAGACUUUAAUAUUUUGAAAAAGCCUCACAUUCACACAGUAUUUCAGAAAUAUUAAUAUGAAAUUUAGCCAGGGAAAGAGGAUCUCUGGUGGAAUCUCCAAUUUAUUUACACAACAUAUCCAACCUCCUGCUCUCAGGGUUCAGUUUCUCAGUAUUUGGACAUUGCCACAUAUAGUGGUUUGAAAAUAAAGUCAUAAUACUAUUUUCCCUGAGCCCAGUUUGUGAGAAAUGUGUAUUCUAUUUAAAGCAAUAUCAUGUUUAAUUUCAUAACAAAAAGGAUUUCUUUUUCUGCAUUCUGAUUAUGAGUGUUCAUUCCUCUUACCUUAAAAUAUAUGCUCACAAGGGAAAAUAAAUCUGGAUUUGAAAUUUAAUUUGUAACUAUAAAAUAUGGAAUAGUUAUUUCUGUUUAUAGCAUCUUAAAAAAGGGAGUGUAAAUACACAGUGUAAGCUACUGUUUAUUGAUGCCAGAUCUGUUUUAAAGCAAUGAUAAUAACUUUUCCUCUCAAGGGAGGACACUAUUUCUUCUACAAACGAUAAAGUGUAUAUAUUAUUUCACAUUUUUAAUGCUGAAUUUUCAUCUUAGAUUUGCAGUUUGACAUUUCUUAGCUAAAAUAUUUUCACAUUCAUGUCUCACUUAUUGUCAAUAACAUCUAUCAAUUUCAAGCAAAAAGAAUAUUAAUAUUAAGAGAAGGUUAAAUUUCUUCUGGAAGGUUUUUUGUCCAGGAGGUGGUAUGGAAAAUUAUGCAUUUGGAAAAUUAUUACAAUUACUGAUACCUUAAAGAGGAAUUAUAGUCAACAGAAAAAGUGACUUUGAGUUUAUAAACAGCUCAGAGCAAAUUUUUGAGAUCACAAUCAAGCUGCUGGGAUCAAACAGUGUGUGUCUGUGUGUGAUAAACAAGGGAUUCAAUUACUGAAUGUGAAAGAAUCAUGAUUCCUCUACUAUGGAACUUACCAAAAUUAUAUAAGACAUUAGGCCACAGCAUGUCAAAAAAGUAAUAAAAUAAAGCUAUUUCCUCUGACAUUAAAAAAUGUAGCUGAUAAAACUGUCAUUGAGAAUCUGGAAAUAUUUCAGUCAAAUAUAAAAGUAUGAGGAGAAAUAAAUCAUGAAGUCCAGCCUAUUUCAUAAAACAUCAU